rnacentral:rRNA from 1 species
UACGAAGGGGGCUAGCGUUGUUCGGAUUUACUGGGCGUAAAGCGCACGUAGGCGGAUCGUUAAGUCGGGGGUGAAAUCCUGGAGCUCAACUCCAGAACUGCCUUCGAUACUGGCGAUCUCGAGUCCGGGAGAGGUGAGUGGAACUGCGAGUGUAGAGGUGAAAUUCGUAGAUAUUCGCAAGAACACCAGUGGCGAAGGCGGCUCACUGGCCCGGUACUGACGCUGAGGUGCGAAAGCGUGGGGAGCAAACAGG